rnacentral:rRNA from 1 species
UCGGAGCAGUGGCGGACGGGUGAGUAACGCGUGGGAACGUGCCCUUUGGUUCGGAACAACACAGGGAAACUUGUGCUAAUACCGGAUGUGCCCUUCGGGGGAAAGAUUUAUCGCCAUCGGAGCGGCCCGCGUUGGAUUAGGUAGUUGGUGGGGUAAUGGCCCACCAAGCCGACGAUCCAUAGCUGGUCUGAGAGGAUGAUCAGCCACACUGGGACUGAGACACGGCCCAGACUCCUACGGGAGGCAGCAGUGGGGAAUCUUGCGCAAUGGGCGAAAGCCUGACGCAGCCAUGCCGCGUGAAUGAUGAAGGUCUUAGGAUUGUAAAAUUCUUUCACCGGGGAAGAUAAUGACGGUACCCGGAGAAGAAGCCCCGGCUAACUUCGUGCCAGCAGCCGCGGUAAUACGAAGGGGGCUAGCGUUGCUCGGAAUUACUGGGCGUAAAGGGCGCGUAGGCGGACAGUUAAGUCAGAGGUGAAAGCCCAGGGCUCAACCUUGGAAUUGCCUUUGAUACUGGCUGUCUUGAGUUCGGGAGAGGUGAGUGGAAUGCCGAGUGUAGAGGUGAAAUUCGUAGAUAUUCGGCGGAACACCAGUGGCGAAGGCGACUCACUGGCCCGAUACUGACGCUGAGGCGCGAAAGCGUGGGG